rnacentral:rRNA from 1 species
UACGUAGGUGGCAAGCGUUGUCCGGAUUUAUUGGGCGUAAAGAGCUCGUAGGCGGCUUGUCGCGUCGGCUGUGAAAACCCGCGGCUCAACUGUGGGCGGGCAGCUGAUACGGGCAGGCUGGAGUUCGGUAGGGGAGACUGGAAUUCCUGGUGUAGCGGUGAAAUGCGCAGAUAUCAGGAGGAACACCGGUGGCGAAGGCGGAUCUCUGGGCCUUACCUGACGCUGAGGCGCGAAAGCUAGGGGAGCGAACAGG